rnacentral:rRNA from 1 species
AUUGAACGCUGGCGGCAGGCCUAACACAUGCAAGUCGAACGAGUGGCGGACGGGUGAGUAAUGUCUGGGAAACUGCGUGAUGGAGGGGGAUAACUAAUGGAAACGGUAGCUAAUACCGCAUACCAACGGAUGUGCCCAGAUGGGAUUAGCUAGGAGGUGGGGUAACGGCUCACCUAGGCGACGAUCCCUAGCUGGUCUGAGAGGAUGACCAGCAACACUGGAACUGAGCCACGGUCCAGACUCCUACGUGAGGCAUCAGUGGGGAAGAUUGCACAAUGGGCGCAAGCCUGAUGCAGCCAUGCCGCGUGUAUGAAGAAGGCCUUCGGGUUGUAAAGUACUUUCAGCGGGGAGGCGUUACCCGCAGAAGAAGCACCGGCUAACUCCGUGCCAGCAGCCGCGGUAAUAC